GACGAACGCUGGCGGCGUGCUUAACACAUGCAAGUCGAACGGAAAGGCCCUGCUUUUGUGGGGUGCUCGAGUGGCGAACGGGUGAGUAACACGUGAGUAACCUGCCCUUUACUUUGGGAUAACUUCAGGAAACUGGGGCUAAUACCGGAUAGGAGCUCCUGCUGCAUGGUGGGGGUUGGAAAGUUUCGGCGGUUGGGGAUGGACUCGCGGCUUAUCAGCUUGUUGGUGGGGUAGUGGCUUACCAAGGCUUUGACGGGUAGCCGGCCUGAGAGGGUGACCGGCGACAUUGGGACUGAGAGACGGACCAGACGCCUACGGGAGGCAGCAGUGGGGAAUAUUGCACAAUGGGCGGAAGCCUGAUGCAGCAACGCCGCGUGCGGGAUGACGGCCUUCGGGUUGUAAACCGCUUUCGCCUGUGACGAAGCGUGAGUGACGGUAAUGGGUAAAGAAGCACCGGCUAACUACGUG
rnacentral:rRNA from 1 species